CCCCCCGUACCCAUGGCCGAAGCCCUUGAACGGCCCCAAUGCCGGCGUUGAGUGAUGAAGGUUUUCGGAUCGUAAAGCUCUGUUGCCAGGGCAAGAACGCUUGGAGAGAGUAACUGCCUCUCAAGGUGACGGUACCUGAGAAGAAAGCCCCGGCUAACUACGUGCCAGCAGCCGCGGUAAUACGUAGGGGGCAAGCGUUGUCCGGAAUUAUUGGGCGUAAAGCGCGCGCAGGUCGGUCAUUUAAGUCUGGUGUUUAAUCCCGGGGCUCAACCCCGGAUCGCACUGGAAACUGGGUGACUUGAGUGCAGAAGAGGAGAGUGGAAUUCCACGUGUAGCGGUGAAAUGCGUAGAUAUGUGGAGGAACACCAGUGGUGAAGGCGACUCUCUGGGCUGUAACUGACGCUGAGGCGCGAAAGCGUGGGGAGCAAACAGGAUUAGAUACCCCAGUAGUCA
rnacentral:rRNA from 1 species